AUUGAACGCUGGCGGCAUGCCUUACACAUGCAAGUCGAACGGCAGCACGGGUGCUUGCACCUGGUGGCGAGUGGCGAACGGGUGAGUAAUACAUCGGAACGUACCUUAUCGUGGGGGAUAACGCAGCGAAAGCUGUGCUAAUACCGCAUACGCCCUGAGGGGGAAAGCGGGGGAUCGCAAGACCUCGCGCGAUUAGAGCGGCCGAUGCCUGAUUAGCUUGUUGGUGGGGUAAAAGCCCACCAAGGCGACGAUCAGUAGCUGGUCUGAGAGGACGGUCAGCCACACUGGGACUGAGACACGGCCCAGACUCCUACGGGAGGCAGCAGUGGGGAAUUUUGGACAAUGGGGGCAACCCUGAUCCAGCAAUGCCGCGUGAGUGAAGAAGGCCUUCGGGUUGUAAAGCUCUUUUGUCAGGGAAGAAACACCGGCUCUAACACAGUCCGGGAAUGACGGUACCUGAAGAAUAAGCAUCGGCUAACUACGUGCCAGCAGCCGCCGUAA
rnacentral:rRNA from 1 species